GCGUCUGAUUAGGUAGUUGGUGAGGUAAUGGCUCACCAAGCCGACGAUCAGUAGGGGUUCUGAGAGGAUUACCCCCCACACUGGUACUGAGACACGGACCAGACUCCUACGGGAGGCAGCAGUGAGGAAUAUUGGUCAAUGGCCGGAAGGCUGAACCAGCCAUCCCGCGUGCAGGAUGACGGCCCUAUGGGUUGUAAACUGCUUUUGUACCUGAAGAAACCUGGUUACGAGUAACCAGUUGCCGGUAAGGUAUGAAUAAGCAUCGGCUAACUCCGUGCCAGCAGCCGCGGUAAUACGGAGGAUGCAAGCGUUAUCCGGAUUCAUUGGGUUUAAAGGGUGCGCAGGUGGGAAAAUAAGUCAGUGGUGAAAUACUGCCGCUUAACGGUAGAAUUGCCAUUGAUACUGUUUUUCUUGAGUAUGGUUGAGGUAGGUGGAAUGUGUUGUGUAGCGGUGAAAUGCAUAGAUAUGACACAGAACGCCGAUUGCGAAGGCAGCUUACUAAGCCAUUACUGACGCUGAGGCACGAAAGCGUGGGGAUCGAACAGGAUUAGAUACCCUGGUAGUCCACGCCGUAAACGAUGAUCACUCGCUGUUUGCGAUAUACAGCAAGCGGCUGAGCGAAAGCAUUAA
rnacentral:rRNA from 1 species